CACAUGCAAGUCGAACGCCCCGCAAGGGGAGUGGCAGACGGGUGAGUAACGUGGGAAUCUACCCAUCUCUACGGAAUAACGCAUGGAAACGUGUGCUAAUACCGUAUACCCUACGGGGGAAAGAUUUAUCGGGGAUGGAUGAGCCCGCGUUGGAUUAGCUAGUUGGGGGUAAAGGCCUACCAAGGCGACGAUCCAUAGCUGGUCUGAGAGGAUGAUCAGCCACAGGGACUGAGACACGGCCCAAACUCCUACGGGAGGCAGCAGUGGGGAAUAUUGGACAAUGCGCAAGCCUGAUCCAGCCAUGCCGCGUGAGUGAUGAAGGCCUUAGGGUUGUAAAGCUUUCACCGGAGAAGAUAAUGACGGUAUCCGGAGAAGAAGCCCCGGCUAACUUCGUGCCAAGCCGCGGUAAUACGAAGGGGGCUAGCGUUGUUCGGAAUUACUGGGCGUAAAGCGCACAGGCGGACUUUUAAGUCAGGGGUGAAAUCCCGGGGCUCAACCCCGGAACUGCCUUUGACUGGAAGUCUGGAGUAUGGAAGAGGUAAGUGGAAUUCCGAGUGUAGAGGUGAAAUUCGGAUAUUCGGAGGAACACCAGUGGCGAAGGCGGCUUACUGGUCCAUUACUGACGCUGAGGCGAAAGCGUGGGGAGCAAACAGGAUUAGAUACCCUGGUAGUCCACGCCGUAAACGAA
rnacentral:rRNA from 1 species